rnacentral:rRNA from 1 species
AACGAACGCUGGCGGCAUGCCUAACACAUGCAAGUCGAACGAGACCUUCGGGUCUAGUGGCGCACGGGUGCGUCACGCGUGGGAAGCUGCACUUAGGUUCGGAAUACCUCUCCGACAGGGGUGCUAAUACCGGAUAAUGUCUUCGGACAAAAGAUUUAUCGCCUUUGGAGGGGCCCGCGUUGGAUUAGCUUGUUGGUAGGGUAAAAGCCUACCACGGCGAGGAUCCAUAGCUGGUCUGAGAGGAUGAGCAGCCACACUGGGGCUGAGACGCGGCCCAGACUCCUACGGGAUGGAGCAGAGGGGGAUAUAGGACUAUCGCGGGAGGCCUGAUCCAGCAAGGCUGGUUAAGUGAUGUAGGCCUUAGAGAAGUAAAGCUCUUUUACCCGGGAUGGUAAUGACGGUACCGAGAGAAUAAGCACCGGCUAACUCCGUG